rnacentral:sRNA from 1 species
UUCCUAUAGGUUCUGAUUUUCCUGAAGAGGACACUGAGCAAAGAGAUCCUCUUCCGAGAGCUGGAGGUGCGACAGGUUGCCCUGAGACAUCUUAUUCACUUCCUUAAGGAAAUAGGGGAUCAAAAGUUGCUUUUAGACCUCUUCAGGUUCCUAGAUAGAACAGAAGAGCUUGCGCUAUCUCAUUAUCGAGAGCAUUUGAACAUUCAGGACCCUGACAAACGAAAAGAAUUUCUUAAAACCUGUGUUGGUUUGCCAUUUUCAGCAGAAGAUUCCGCACACAUACAGGACCAUUACACGCUCCUGGAACGUCAGAUCAUUAUUGAGGCAAAUGAUCGCCAUCUAGAAUCAGCAGGACAGACUGAGAUCUUCCGAAAGCACCCCCGCAAAGCUUCCAUCCUCAACAUGCCACUAGUGACAACGCUUUUCUACUCCUGCUUCUAUCACUACACAGAGGCUGAGGUACAGGCAAAAUAUGGAAGAUUCCACAAACUCUCAUUGCACAAAAAGAAGAUAGUUCAAAUCCAGUACUUUUAUGUACUCUCUUAAU